GUAUUAAAAAUAAAUAUUUGUAAUGACAGUAAAACCGUAGGUGUCUUCGUGUUGUUUAAUUUUUAAUUUUUGAGCAAAAAUAUGGGAAAACAAAGGCAUGUCCACAAGGGCUGAGUUUCCCGAAGCAUAAGCAGAAGAAACAGAACGGAAGCAGAAGUAGAACGUCAGGUGCACAUACUCAAAGAUGGGCAGCAAUGAGAUAUCCGCAGGCGUUUGGUGGAAAAAACACAUGGUUCGAUUAUGCUUAUUGAUACACACACUCCUACACCCAUAAAAUGAAAAA